UACGUAGGGUGCAAGCGUUAUCCGGAAUUAUUGGGCGUAAAGAGCUCGUAGGCGGUUUGUCGCGUCUGCUGUGAAAACUGGAGGCUCAACCUCCAGCCUGCAGUGGGUACGGGCAGACUAGAGUGCGGUAGGGGAGAUUGGAAUUCCUGGUGUAGCGGUGGAAUGCGCAGAUAUCAGGAGGAACACCCGUAGCGAAGGCGGCACUCUGGGCCGAUACUGACACUGAGGAGCGAAAGCGUGGGGAGCGAACAGG
rnacentral:rRNA from 1 species